GCAUUGGUGGUUCAGUGGUAGGUUUCUCACCUUCUGUGCGGGAGAACUGGGUUCGAUUCCUGGCCAAGGCC
rnacentral:tRNA from 1 species